GAAAGAAGAAGUAAAUAAAAAUCACAAAAGAAAAAGAAGAAGAGCGUUCGCUGUGUGGUGUUAUUUAAAUUUUAUAUAUUUUCUUUUCUUUUUCUUUUCCCUUUUUGUGGUGUAUGUAGUAGAUUUUGUUGCGUAUAAUUUUGUAGUGUCGGAGUAGUAGCGGAAUAAUGUGCAAGUAGCGGCCAGAUAGCGGCGCCAGGAGAUAUGUGAAGAAGAAAAAAGGGAAUUAUAGAGUUUGAUUUACUUUUGGCUACUAGAAGGAGCAAGCGAACGCAGAAGAGUCGGACGAAAAAAAAUAAAAAG
rnacentral:RNase_P_RNA from 14 species